UCUAGCUCCUGCUCAUAUGGAAAAGCAGCUUUUUCUAGCUUUGGCUUAUUUUGUACGAAAACGUUUUGCAAAACGGCUUUUCCUAGCUGCUUUUAAGAAUGUAAAGAUGUCAAAUGUCCAAAAUACCCUUAAAUUUUUUUUCUCUUUUCUCUUUUCUUUUUUCUCUUCAUUUUCCUUUUCUUUUUCUUUCCUUUUUUAUUUCUCUUUCCUUCUCCCCUUCUUUUCUUUUUCCCUCCUCUCUCCUUAUCCGAUCCCAGCCAACCCCU
rnacentral:lncRNA from 1 species